CCCAGCAAAGGCACAGUGCAGACUGAGCUCCACAGAGCGGGGAAAGGCUUAUAAAUCUUUCCCACGCCCUGCAAUUUGAUUUGGAGCACUCUGGUUGAUUUCAAGUCUCUACAGUUACCUGUCACAGCACUCUGAUUGGUUGGCUUGAAAUCCAACCAGUCAGAGAGCUCUGUGUCAUUUUACACAGUGUGGGAAAGUUCUUUGGAAUUUCCCCAUCCUGUGUAAUUUGACGCAUACCACUG